rnacentral:rRNA from 1 species
UGACGGCCUUCGGGUUGUAAACCUCUUUUAGCAGGGAAGAAGCGAGAGUGACGGUACUGCAGAAAAAGCACGGCUAACUACGUGCCAGCAGCCGCGGUAAUACGUAGGGUGCAAGCGUAUCCGGAAUUAUUGGGCGUAAAGAGCUCGUAGGCGGUUUGUCGCGUCUGCUGUGAAAUCUGGGGGCUCAACCCCCAGCCUGCAGUGGGUACGGGCAGACUAGAGUGCGGUAGGGGAGAUUGGAAUUCCUGGUGUAGCGGUGGAAUGCGCAGAUAUCAGGAGGAACACCGAUGGCGAAGGCAGAUCUCUGGGCCGUAACUGACGCUGAGGAGCGAAAGGGUGGGGAGCAAACAGGCUUAGAUACCCUGGUAGUCCACCCCGUAAACGUUGGGAACUAGUUGUGGGGUCCAUUCCACGGAUUCCGUGACGCAGCUAACGCAUUAAGUUCCCCGCCUGGGGAGUACGGCCGCAAGGCUAAAACUCAAAGGAAUUGACGGGGACCCGCACAAGCGGCGGAGCAUGCGGAUUAAUUCGAUGCAACGCGAAGAACCUUACCAAGGCUUGACAUAUACGAGAACGGGCCAGAAAUGGUCAACUCUUUGGACACUCGUAAACAGGUGGUGCAUGGUUGUCGUCAGCUCGUGUCGUGAGAUGUUGGGUUAAGUCCCGCAACGAGCGCAACCCUCGUUCUAUGUUGCCAGCACGUAAUGGUGGGAACUCAUGGGAUACUGCCGGGGUCAACUCGGAGGAAGGUGGGGAUGACGUCAAAUCAUCAUGCCCCUUAUGUCUUGGGCUUCACGCAUGCUACAAUGGCCGGUACAAUGGGCUGCAAUACCGUGAGGUGGAGCGAAUCCCAAAAAGCCGGUCCCAGUUCGGAUUGAGGUCUGCAACUCGACCUCAUGAAGUCGGAGUCGCUAGUAAUCGCAGAUCAGCAACGCUGCGGUGAAUACGUUCCCGGGUCUUGUACACACCGCCCGUCAAGUCAUGAAAGUCGGUAACACCUGAAGCCGGUGGCCUAACCCUUCGGGGAGGGAGC